UACGAAGGGGGCUAGCGUUGUUCGGAAUACUGGGCGUAAAGCGUAUGCAGGCGGAUCAUUAAGUCGGGGGUGAAAUCCCGAGGCUCAACCUCGGAACUGCCUUCGAUACUGAUGAUCUUGAGUCCGGGAGAGGUGAGUGGAACUGCGAGUGUAGAGGUGAAAUUCGUAGAUAUUCGCAAGAACACCAGUGGCGAAGGCGGCUCACUGGCCCGGUACUGACGCUGAGAUACGAAAGCGUGGGGAGCAAACAGG
rnacentral:rRNA from 1 species